GAUGAACGCUGGCGGCGUGCCUAACACAUGCAAGUCGAGCGAUCUUCUUCGGAAGAGAGCGGCGGACGGGUGAGUAACGCGUGGGUAACCUGCCCUAUACACACGGAUAACAUACCGAAAGGUAUGCUAAUACGAGAUGAUAUAAGAAAUUCGCAUGUUUUUCUUAUCAAAGCUUUUGCGGUAUAGGAUGGACCCGCGUCUGAUUAGCUAGUUGGUAAGGUAAUGGCUUACCAAGGCGACGAUCAGUAGCCGACCUGAGAGGGUGAUCGGCCACAUUGGACCUGAGACACGGUCCAAACUCCUACGGGAGGCAGCAGUGGGGAAUAUUGCACAAUGGGCGAAAGCCUGAUGCAGCAACGCCGCGUGAGCGAUGAAGGCCUUCGGGUCGUAAAGCUCUGUCCUCAAGGAAGAUAAUGACGGUACUUGAGGAGGAAGCCCCGGCUAACUACGUGCCAGCCGCCGCCGUAACAC
rnacentral:rRNA from 1 species